rnacentral:misc_RNA from 1 species
GAAAUGCGAUACUUGGUGUGAAUUGCAGAAUCCCGUGAACCAUCGAGUCUUUGAACGCAAGUUGCGCCCGAAGCCAUUAGGCCGAGGGCACGCCGUAAAACCCCAACUUUUUUCAGGUUGACCUCGAAUCAGGUAGGACUACCCGCUGAACUUAA